rnacentral:rRNA from 1 species
GACGAACGCUGGCGGCGCGCCUAACACAUGCAAGUCGAACGAGCGAGAGAGAGCUUGCUUUCUUGAGCGAGUGGCGAACGGGUGAGUAACGCGUGAGGAACCUGCCUCAAAGAGGGGGACAACAGUUGGAAACGACUGCUAAUACCGCAUAAGCCCACGGUGCCGCAUGGCACAGAGGGAAAAGGAGCAAUCCGCUUUGAGAUGGCCUCGCGUCCGAUUAGCUAGUUGGUGAGGUAACGGCCCACCAAGGCGACGAUCGGUAGCCGGACUGAGAGGUUGAACGGCCACAUUGGGACUGAGACACGGCCCAGACUCCUACGGGAGGCAGCAGUGGGGAAUAUUGCACAAGGGGGGAAACCCUGAUGCAGCGACGCCGCGUGGAGGAAGAAGGUCUUCGGAUUGUAAACUCCUGUUGUUGGGGAAGAUAAUGACGGUACCCAACAAGGAAGUGACGGCUAACUACGUG